UCUUGCUGAGAUGAUGUAUAGAUGGCCUCGGGGCUCUUGACUCUUUGGAGCACAAAGUAGACCAAUUUUAGCCCAAUUAAACAGUGGGGAAGCUCUCAAAGUAUCUGUAUCCGACUGUUGAGAAGACAUUGAAAAGGUCCACUGGCAUCUCCUUCGGCUUGCCAUCUGGUGUCAUUUGAUUAUGUGGGAGAUCAGGCAUGAACAAAUAUGUGUGCUUGGUUCUCCUGAGAUUACAAUUUGAAAGUUUUACCAUGAAAAAGCCAGGCACCAGGGGGCCGGACACGAGGCAGGAGGUCGGAGCCGCUGUCUCUGGGCAGAUGUCUGUUUCACAGUGUCCACGCUGAUCCUAGACCAGUUCCUUUUCAGUCGACGAUUU